AGGACGAACGCUGGCGGCGUGCUUAACACAUGCAAGUCGAACGGGAUCCUUCGGGGUCUAGUGGCGAACGGGUGAGUAACACGUGAGCAACCUGCCCUUGGCUCUGGGAUAGCCUCCGGAAACGGGGAUUAAUACCGGACAUGACCUUCUCCCGCAUGGGGGAGGGUGGAAAGUUUUUCGGCCAGGGAGGGGCUCGCGGCCUAUCAGCUUGUUGGGGGGUAACGGCCCACCAAGGCGACGACGGGUAGCCGGCCUGAGAGGGCGACCGGCCACACUGGGACUGAGACACGGCCCAGACUCCUACGGGAGGCAGCAGUGGGGAAUAUUGCACAAUGGGGGAAACCCUGAUGCAGCGACGCCGCGUGCGGGAUGAAGGCCUUCGGGUUGUAAACCGCUUUCAGCAGGGACGAAGCGAGAGUGACGGUACCUGCAGAAGAAGCGCCGGCUAACUACGCGCCAGCAGCCGC
rnacentral:rRNA from 1 species